rnacentral:rRNA from 1 species
UGGAAGUAAAAGUCGUAACAAGGUCUCCGUUGGUGAACCAGCGGAGGGAUCAUUACAGAGUUAUCCAACUCCCAAACCCAUGUGAACUUAUCUCUUUGUUGCCUCGGCGCAAGCUACCCGGGACCUCGCGCCCCGGGGGGCCCGCCGGCGGACAAACCAAACUCUGUUAUCUUCGUUGAUUAUCUGAGUGUCUUAUUUAAUAAGUCAAAACUUUCAACAACGGAUCUCUUGGUUCUGGCAUCGAUGAAGAACGCAGCGAAAUGCGAUAAGUAAUGUGAAUUGCAGAAUUCAGUGAAUCAUCGAAUCUUUGAACGCACAUUGCGCCCAUUAGUAUUCUAGUGGGCAUGCCUGUUCGAGCGUCAUUUCAACCCUUAAGCCUAGCUUAGUGUUGGGAAUCUACUUCUUUAUAGUUGUAGUUCCUGAAAUACAACGGCGGAUUUGUAGUAUCCUCUGAGCGUAGUAAUUUUUUCUCGCUUUUGUUAGGUGCUAUAACUCCCAGCCGCUAAACCCCCAAUUUUUUGUGGUUGACCUCGGAUCAGGUAGGAAUACCCGCUGAACUUAAGCAUAUCAAUAAGCGGAGGA